AGUAGAUUGGGAAACUCUUCAAAUUAUUAUGAAAUACCGAGACAAGCUUAAGCCACUAAUGGCGGGCCUCAAUGCAGUUUAAUGCCGCAUGCUCCUGACGGAGCCGGGGGAUUACAAAGGUGGCAGGCACUCAAAUCCUGUCGUAUCGGAGUUUCAUCGCAUCCUUUGGUGUGGUUUUU
rnacentral:sRNA from 1 species